CGUUUUAGGACUUAACCAAAUAACCAGUCCAUGAAUAAGCAACCCCAUUACCACAGACAGUACCCACGCUACCAGUCUGAUUAUAAAGGGAGACACUUUAUUUUUUCACAAUUAAAUAAGAAUUGUAGAUUAAUACACCUCUAUCUUGCAUGGGAAGGAGGGAAAUAUGCGUUAUUUACUGUAAAAAAAUGGAAUUUAAAGGAAGGCUUGUGUCACCUUUUGACUAUAAAUAAAUCCUUUCUAC
rnacentral:lncRNA from 1 species